AUCGAACGCUGGCGGCAGGCCUAACACAUGCAAGUCGAACGAGUGGCGGAAGGGUGAGUAAUGUCUGGGAAACUGCCUGAUGGAGGGGGCUAACUACUGGAAACGGUAGCUAAUACCGCAUACAAUCGGUUGUGCCCACAUGGGAUUAGCUAGUAGGUGGGGUAAAGGCUCACCUAGGCGACGAUCCCUAGCUGGUCUGAGAGGAUGACCAGCCACACUGGAACUGGGACACGGUCCAGACUCCUACGGGAGGCAGCAGUGGGGAAUAUUGCACAAUGGGCGCAAGCCUGAUGCAGCCAUGCCGCGUGUAUGAAGAAGGCCUUCGGGUUGUAAAGUACUUUCAGCGGGGAGGCGUUACCCGCAGAAGAAGCACCGGCUAACUCCGUGCCAGCAGCCGCGGUAAUUC
rnacentral:rRNA from 1 species